AGUGAACGCUGGCGGUAGGCCUAACACAUGCAAGUCGAACGGCAGCACAGAGGAGCUUGCUCCUUGGGUGGCGAGUGGCGGACGGGUGAGGAAUACAUCGGAAUCUACUCUGUCGUGGGGGAUAACGUAGGGAAACUUACGCUAAUACCGCAUACGACCUACGGGUGAAAGCAGGGGAUCUUCGGACCUUGCGCGAUUGAAUGAGCCGAUGUCGGAUUAGCUAGUUGGCGGGGUAAAGGCCCACCAAGGCGACGAUCCGUAGCUGGUCUGAGAGGAUGAUCAGCCACACUGGAACUGAGACACGGUCCAGACUCCUACGGGAGGCAGCAGUGGGGAGUAUUGGACAAUGGGCGCAAGCCUGAUCCAGCCAUACCGCGUGGGUGAAGAAGGCCUUCGGGUUGUAAAGCCCUUUUGUUGGGAAAGAAAUCCAGCCGGCUAAUACCUGGUUGGGAUGACGGUACCCAAAGAAUAAGCACCGGCUAACUUCGUGCCAGCAGCCGCGGUAAUACGAAGGGUGCAAGCGUUACUCGGAAUUACUGGGCGUAAAGCGUGCGUAGGUGGUUAUUUAAGUCCGUUGUGAAAGCCCUGGGCUCAACCUGGGAACUGCAGUGGAUACUGGAUGACUAGAAUGUGGUAGAGGGUAGCGGAAUUCCUGGGUGUAGCAGUGAAUGCGUAGAGAUCAGGAGGAACAUCCAUGGCGAAUGCUGCUACCUGGACCCUACAUUUGUCACUGAGGCACGAAAGCGUUGGGAGGGAAACAAG
rnacentral:rRNA from 1 species